rnacentral:rRNA from 1 species
CCUACGUGUGGCAGCAGUGGGGGAUAUUGCACAAUGGGGGGAACCCUGAUGCAGCGACGCCGCGUGGGUGAAGAAGCGCCUCGGCGCGUAAAGCCCUGUCAGCCGGGGAGAAAAUGACGGUACCUGAAGAAGAAGCCCCGGCUAACUACGUGCCAGCAGCCGCGGUAAUACGUAGGGGGCAAGCGUUAUCCGGAUUUACUGGGUGUAAAGGGUGCGCAGUCGGGGAUGCAAGCCAGGCGUGAAAGCCCCGGGCCCAACCCGGGGACUGCACUUGGAACUGGGUGGCUGGAGUGCAGGAGGGGAAGGCGGAAUUCCUGGUGUAGCGGUGAAAUGCGUAGAUAUCAGGAGGAACACCAGUGGCGAAGGCGACCUGCUGGACUGCAACUGACGCUGAGGCGCGAAAGCGUGGGGAGCGAACGGGAUUAGAUACCCGGGUAGUC